GGGUAGCUAUGUAUGGACGGGAUAAGUGCUGAAAGCAUCUAAGCAUGAAGCCCCCCUCAAGAUGAGAUUUCCCAACUUCGGUUAUAAGAUCCCUCAAAGAUGAUGAGGUUAAUAGGUUCGAGGUGGAAGCGUAGCGAUACGUGGAGCUGACGAAUACUAAUCGAUCGAAGACUUAAUCAAUUU
rnacentral:rRNA from 1 species